AGUAACGCGUGGGCAACCUGCCCUGUACAGGGGGAUAACACUUAGGAAUAGGUGCUAAUACCGCAUGAGCGCACAAAGGCGCAUGCCUAUGUGCGGGAAGCCCGCGAGGGCGGUACGGGAUGGGCCCGCGUCUGAUUAGCCAGUUGGCAGGGUAACGGCCUACCAAAGCGACGAUCAGUAGCCGGCCUGAGAGAGUGGACGGCCACAUUGGGACUGAGACACGGCCCAAACUCCUACGGAAGGCAGCAG
rnacentral:rRNA from 1 species